CCUGCGGGUGGCACCAGUAGGGAAUCUUCCGCAAUGGACGGAAGUCUGACGGAGCAACGCCGCGUGAGUGAUGAAGGCUUUCGGGUUGUAAAACUCUGUUGUUAGGGAAGAACAAGUGCUAGUGGAAUAAGCUGGCACCUUGACGGUACCUAACCAGAAAGCCACGGCUAACUACGUGCCAGCAGCCGCGGUAAUACGUAGGUGGCAAGCGUUAUCCGGAAUUAUUGGGCGUAAAGCGCGCGCAGGUGGUUUCUUAAGUCUGAUGUGAAAGCCCACGGCUCAACCGUGGAGGGUCAUUGGAAACUGGGGGACUUGAGUGCAGAAGAGGAAAGUGGAAUUCCAUGUGUAGCGGUGAAAUGCGUAGAGAUAUGGAGGAACACCAGUGGCGAAGGCGACUUUCUGGUCUGUAACUGACACUGAGGCGCGAAAGCGUGGGGAGCAAACAGGAUUAGAUACCCUCGUAGUC
rnacentral:rRNA from 1 species